rnacentral:misc_RNA from 1 species
CUGGAAACCAAGCUCUUAAAUCAAGUGAUGUCUGAAUCGAUUUUAGAGGCAAAGGAACCUGAACACAGUUUGCAAAAUUCAGAAGAAGAAGAAAGGGAUUCUCUUGAUGAAUCUGUGUCACUACCAACUAUGCUAGAUGACCACCGUCAGCAUGAUCCAGUAACCUUGCAUGGAGAAACAACAUGGGCUCCAAGUACAUUAGCUUUGCCACCAAUCUAUGAAGUUGGAAAACCAAAUGGUAGCAAGCCUCCUCGUCCUCGGAAUCCUCUCAUUGAUGCUGUUGCUGCACAUGACAAAAGCAAGUUGAGAAAGGUAACUGAACGAGUUCGCCCUCAGAUUGGACCAAAAAUAGAUGAAAGAGAUUCACUGCUACAACAAAUACGAACAAAGUCCUUUAACUUGAAACCUACAGCUGUGACAAGGCCUAGUAUUCAGGGUAUUCAGGGUCCAAAAACUAAUUUGAAGGUUGCUGCCAUAUUGGAGAAAGCAAAUGCAAUUCGCCAGGCAUUUGCUGGAAGUGAUGAAGAGAAUGAUUCAGACAGCUGGAGUGACUCUUGAGAAAAACUUCCUUGCAUGCAGCAUUUCACCAUGGUGGUUAAUGCCUUUAAUGCUUUGUCUACACAUGUACUCUUCUUUAAAGUGAAUAGAAAUCUCUGCUGUUUGGGUAUUCUUUUUCCUCCCUACAGUCUACGCUAUAAAUUUAUGUAUAAUCUCUGUUUUCUACUCGUCUUCCUUGUCACACGCAGUUGUUGAAGAUGCAGUGGUCGGUUUGCUGCCCCUGCUUUACUCGGGAUCCCAUUCCAGGGCGAAAUGCUUAUUUACAUGAAUGGCUUACCGUGCAAGCGCUCAUCCAAUCUAAAUGUAUGUAUCAUUGUAUUGAUAUCUCUGUAGGUGUAAAUUGUGUUGGGGCGGCAUAAAUUUUGAGGUGUAGCGCACUUCUGAUGAAAUUUUGUAGUCUGUAUGUAGUGAUUUCGUGAUAUACACCUCUGCCCCAUUUAGAAUGUUGUUUCUGGUUUAUGGAUUGUAUCAGAUUUACAUGAUUCUUUAGAGUUACUGCAGUAACUUUUGUAUUUAAUUGAAUCUUGAAAAUUAGAAUUUUACAGAAUUGAAUUGGUCAGUUCUCAUGUUUG